AUACGAUGGUGGGGAAAAAUUCUAAGCAUUUCUUUGAAACGCUCCCACACAUCAUAAAGAUAUUCCCUAUCUUUUUGAGUGAACCGUGUGAUUUGAUCCCUCAAUUU
rfam:Medicago truncatula strain A17 chromosome 6, whole genome shotgun sequence.